GAAUACGCUAGCAAUUCUAAAUAGAAACUGCGCUGGAAAACUCUUCAAGAGAUCUGUGGCGGGAAACAAUUUGAACAGCAAUUUAAACGCUACAGGGUGAUUUCAAAUUUAUUAAGUAACAGUCGAUACCUUGCGAGACCUCUUCAAUCAGAAACGGUCGUACGGAUUUGAUGAAAUUCCGCACACUGAUCGCCUAAAACUGAGACCAAAUUUUUGAAUAUUCUCUACAUUUUUCAAGG